AAAGUAAUUGAUUUUAUUACUCAAUCUAGAGCUUAUUUAUGAUAAACAUGUAAGUUUUGGCGUAUCUAUUGAUCUUAUUAAAUAUAAGAUUUAUUAUUUAUAAAAAUUCAGUUUUUAAUAUUACAUUAUUUUUAUAACUAAAAUAGUAGCAAUAAAUUUUAAUACUAACUAAUUUUAGUGCCAGCAGUUGCGGUUACUCUAAUAGUAUAAUUUUAGGUUUUUCAGUUAGGUAUUAAAUUUAAAAUAUUUUAAUAAUAAUUAUUUUUAUUAAGUGAAAUUUUAAAAUUAUAUUUGUUAAAGGUUUAUUAUAUAUUAAAUUUUAAAUUAAAACUAGGAUUAGAUACCCUAUUAUUAAAAAUUAAAUUUUUGGCUAUAUUAUUAAAAGGUAAAUUCUUUAAAAUAAAUAGAUUUGGCGGUAAUUAAUUAAUUUUUUAGAGGAACCUGCCCUUUAAUUGAUACACCACGAUUAAUUUCAUUUCUGUUUUUACUUAUAUACCUCUAUCAUUGAAUGUUUUAUUAGAAUAACUUUCUUAAAUUAUUUUAUAUACUUAAUGUUAGGUCAAGGUUUAGUUAUAUAGAAGUAGAGGUGGGUUACAUUAAUGUUAAUUUUAGAUUAAAAGUUAUGAAACUUUUAUGAAAUUGGAUUUAAUUGUAAUUUUAAUUUUAUAAUUAAGAUGAAAUUUUUAAAGUUAUGUACAUAUCGCCCGUCACUCCCAAACAUUGGGAUAAGUCGUAACAAAGUAGGAUUACCGGAAGGUAACCCUGGUAAGUAA
rnacentral:ncRNA from 1 species